rnacentral:rRNA from 1 species
UUGAAAGGGAAACGAUUGAAGUCAGUCGUACCUGCGGGUAAUCAGCCUUUUGGGCAUGAUUCUGUGGAGCGUGAGGAGUUAAACGCCUUCAUGCCUGCAUAUUCGUGUACUUUGGGUGUACUUGCCUGUGUAGUUAGUUAACAUCAAUUCUGGUUAUCAUAAAAUGGUUGGAGGAAUGUAGCUUCGAUUUCGAUUGAAGUGUUAUAGCCUUCGGCAGAUGUGAUGAUUGGGAUUGAGGAUUGCAACGGAUACCCUUCGGGGCUACCUGUCUGAUCUCUGAUCGUUGCUCUGGUGCCGAAAGCGUGCUUACGGUUAUCAAAGUCGAUGGUCAAUAGGUUAGAAUGGGUUAAAUUCGUUAAGGAUGUUGACGUA